rnacentral:rRNA from 1 species
ACGUUAGCGGCGGACGGGUGAGUAACACGUGGGUAACCUACCUAUAAGACUGGGAUAACUUCGGGAAACCGGAGCUAAUACCGGAUAAUAUUUCGAACCGCAUGGUUCGAUAGUGAAAGGUGGUUUUGCUAUCACUUAUAGAUGGACCCGCGCCGUAUUAGCUAGUUGGUAAGGUAACGGCUUACCAAGUCGACGAUACGUAGCCGACCUGAGAGGGUGAUCGGCCACACUGGAACUGAUACACGGUCCAGACUCCUACGGGAGGCAGCAGCU